rnacentral:rRNA from 1 species
AUUGAACGCUGGCGGCAUGCCUUACACAUGCAAGUCGAACGGCAGCACGGGAGCAAUCCUGGUGGCGAGUGGCGAACGGGUGAGUAAUAUAUCGGAACGUGCCCAGUAGUGGGGGAUAACUACUCGAAAGAGUGGCUAAUACCGCAUACGACCUGAGGGUGAAAGCGGGGGAUCGCAAGACCUCGCGCUAUUGGAGCGGCCGAUAUCAGAUUAGCUAGUUGGUGGGGUAAAGGCCUACCAAGGCAACGAUCUGUAGUUGGUCUGAGAGGACGACCAGCCACACGGGGAAUGAGACGCGGCCCAGACUCCUACGUGAGGGAGCAGUGGGGAAUUUUGGACAAUGGGCGCAAGCCUGAUCCAGCAAUGCCGCGUGCAGGAAGAAGGCCUUCGGGUUGUAAACUGCUUUUGUCAGGGAAGAAAUCCUCUAGGUUAAUACCCUUGGGGGGAUGACGGUACCUGAAGAAUAAGCACCGGCUAACUACGUGCCAGCCGCCGCCGUAACAC